GACGAACGCUGGCGGCGUGCUUAACACAUGCAAGUCGAACGGAAAGGCCCUGCUUUUGUGGGGUGCUCGAGUGGCGAACGGGUGAGUAACACGUGAGUAACCUGCCCUUGACUUUGGGAUAACUUCAGGAAACUGGGGCUAAUACCGGAUAGGAGCUCCUGCUGCAUGGUGGGGGUUGGAAAGUUUCGGCGGUUGGGGAUGGACUCGCGGCUUAUCAGCUUGUUGGUGGGGUAGUGGCUUACCAAGGCUUUGACGGGAGCCGGCCUGAGAGGGUGACCGGCCACAUUGGGACUGAGAUACGGCCCAGACUCCUACGGGAGGCAGCAGUGGGGAAUAUUGCACAAUGGGCGGAAGCCUGAUGCAGCAACGCCGCGUGCGGGAUGACGGCCUUCGGGUUGUAAACCGCUUUCGCCUGUGACGAAGCGUGAGUGACGGUAAUGGGUAAAGAAGCACCGGCUAACUACGUG
rnacentral:rRNA from 1 species